rnacentral:misc_RNA from 1 species
CAGGGUCUGACGACUGCCCAAACCAAACCGUGAACCUUUUCUACCAACAUUGCUACGGCGGGCCGCUCGCUGGGGGAGCCCUCUGGCCGUUUCGACGGUGGGCCGCCGAAGCAAACCAAAAAGACAACCACUCUGACACGCUUCUGAGAAAACUUUCUAAAAAGUCA